rnacentral:rRNA from 1 species
GACGAACGCUGGCGGCGUGCUUAACACAUGCAAGUCGAGCGGUAAGGCCCUUUCGGGGGUACACGAGCGGCGAACGGGUGAGUAACACGUGGGUGACCUGCCCUCAGCUCUGGGAUAAGCCCGGGAAACUGGGUCUAAUACCGGAUAUGACUCCAUGACGCAUGUUGUGGGGUGGAAAGCCUUGUGCGGCUGAGGAUGGGCCCGCGGCCUAUCAGCUCGUUGGUGGGGUGAUGGCCACCAAGGCGACGACGGGUAGCCGGCCUGAGAGGGCGACCGGCCACACUGGGACUGAGAUACGGCCCAGACUCCUACGGGAGGCAGCAGUGGGGAAUCUUGCGCAAUGGGCGAAAGCCUGACGCAGCGACGCCGCGUGAGGGAUGACGGCCU